GACGAACGCUGGCGGCGUGCUUAACACAUGCAAGUCGAACGGAAAGGCCUGCUUUCCCUUGUGGAUUGCGGGUACUCGAGUGGCGAACGGGUGAGUAACACGUGAGUGAUCUGCCCCCAACUUGGGUAUAAGCCUGGGAAACUGGGUCUAAUUCCCGAUAGGACUGCAGGGUGGUGCCUGUGGUGGAAAACGAUUUUCUAGUGGUUGGGGAUGAGCUCGCGGCCUAUCAGCUUGUUGGUGGGGUAAUGGCCUACCAAGGCGGCGACGGGUAGCCGGCCUGAGAGGGUGGACGGCCACAUUGGGACUGGGAUACGGCCCAGACGCCUACGGGAGGCAGCAGUGGGGAAUAGGACACAACGGGCGGAAGCCUGAUGCAGCGACGCCGCGUGGGGGAUGACGGCCUUCGGGUUGUAAACUCCUUGCGACCGCGAGGAAGCCACCUGGUUGGAAGGGUGGUGACGGUAGUGGUAGAAGAAGCACCGGCUAACUACGUG
rnacentral:rRNA from 1 species